rnacentral:rRNA from 1 species
UACGGAGGGUGCAAGCGUUAUCCGGAAUGAUUGGGCGUAAAGCGUCUGUAGGUGGCUUUUUAAGUCCGCCGUCAAAUCCCAGGGCUCAACCCUGGACAGGCGGUGGAAACUACCAAGCUAGAGUACGGUAGGGACAGAGGGAAUUUCCGGUGGAGCGGUGAAAUGCGUAGAGAUCGGAAAGAACACCAAAGGCGAAGGCACUCUGCUGGGAC